AACGAACGCUGGCGGCAGGCUUAACACAUGCAAGUCGAACGAAGUCUUCGGACUUAGUGGCGCACGGGUGAGUAACACGUGGGAAUAUACCUCUUGGUGGGGAAUAACAUCGGGAAACUGAUGCUAAUACCGCAUACGCCCUUCGGGGAAGAUUUAUCGCCGAGAGAUUAGCCCGCGUCCGAUUAGCUAGUUGGUGAGGUAAUGGCUCACCAAGGCGACGAUCGGUAGCUGGUCUGAGAGGAUGAUCAGCCACACUGGGACUGAGACACGGCCCAGACUCCUACGGGAGGCAGCAGUGGGGAAUAUUGGACAAUGGGCGAAAGCCUGAUCCAGCCAUGCCGCGUGAGUGAAGAAGGCCUUCGGUUGUAAAGCUCUUUCGACGGGG
rnacentral:rRNA from 1 species